rnacentral:rRNA from 1 species
UGGGGAAUAUUGGACAAUGGGCGGAAGCCUGAUCCAGCCAUGCCGCGUGUGUGAAGAAGGCCUUUUGGUUGUAAAGCACUUUAAGCGAGGAGGAGGCUCUUCUAGUUAAUACCUAGGAUGAGUGGACGUUACUCGCAGAAUAAGCACCGGCUAACUCUGUGCCAGCAGCCGCGGUAAUACAGAGGGUGCGAGCGUUAAUCGGAUUUACUGGGCGUAAAGCGUGCGUAGGCGGCUGAUUAAGUCGGAUGUGAAAUCCCUGAGCUUAACUUAGGAAUUGCAUUCGAUACUGGUCAGCUAGAGGAUGGGAGAGGAUGGUAGAAUUCCAGGUGUAGCGGUGAAAUGCGUAGAGAUCUGGAGGAAUACCGAUGGCGAAGGCAGCCAUCUGGCCUAACACUGACGCUGAGGUACGAAAGCAUGGGGAGCAAACAGG